CGUGGGUAACCUGCCCAAGAGAUCGGGAUAACACCUGGAAACAGAUGCUAAUACCGGAUAACAACAGAUGAUGCCUAUCAACUGUUUAAAAGAUGGUUCUGCUAUCACUCUUGGAUGGACCUGCGGUGCAUUAGCUAGUUGGUAGGGUAACGGCCUACCAAGGCAAUGAUGCAUAGCCGAGUUGAGAGACUGAUCGGCCACAUUGGGACUGAGACACGGUCCAAACUCCUACGGGAGGCAGCAGGG
rnacentral:rRNA from 1 species